CCUUCUAACACCCAUCAAUUGCAAAUGUCUCGAUUAAAAGCUCUCCUUUCUAACCAAACCAAAUGUCUCCUCAAAACCCGGAAUCCUUCUUCCAAAAUCCCUUCUCCGUCACCAUCCUUCAUAAUUAGAAGAACCCUUAAUUCCUAUCCCCAGAAACAAACCAAAACCCCACUUUCUGCAUUGUUUCAAGCCGCUGGUGGAACUGAAGCCCAGAGAGAAGUAAAAAACAUUGGGUUGAAGAGAGAAGUUAGGAACUUGAAAGGAAACCCAAAAGAGAAAAAGAAAGAAAACCAGGGACCAGAUGGGAACAAACCCCAGAAAGUUAAGUGUUUGGUUGAGUUGCCUGGGUGUGAAAAGAAACAAGACAAGGUGAAAAAGAUGGUAAAAGUUAGGAGAGAAAGGAGGGAGGUAAGAGCUUUGAAGGAUCUUUCACAGUUAGCUGAGAGUUUCAUUAGGCAUCUGUUUGCAAAAGGGUAUUUUAACAAGGCUAGUUUUUUGGAAGACAACAAGUUAGAUUUUGGUUACUUUGGGAAUAGUUAUGGCCGGGAUUUUAUCAAGUUCGCUGCUUACGAGUUUGGUAAAGAUCACCAAGAUAUUGCAAAAUGGUUGCCAGGCAAUCACUUAAAAAACGUGGUGCUUUUCGGAUGCCCUUCCCUUGAUAAAAAUAAUGUCUUUGCUGCUAAGAGACUGCGCAAGUUCUUUAAAAUUCAAGAACACACCGUAUGCAGUCGAUGCGCGUUAAAGGAUUCAUGCGAGUAUGCGAAUAAGAGUUUAUGGGGAAUUGGUACCAAUAGUUUGCUUUUGGUUGAUGUAAUGAAAAUCAUCACUUUGUAUGCUUUAGACCUACUGCCUGCAAAACUGACAGUUCCGGACGAAGUAAAGGAUUCAAUCAACCAAUUGCUGAAGAUGGUUGUAAAGCUAAGCCAAUCCACAUGACAAGUCUUCUAAAAUACUCCUACAGCUAUCAUAAAUUCCUGUUACUCGGAAGUAAGACGGAUACAGUUAAUGCUGGUGGCCUAUGUUGGUCGGACUCUUCAUUUUUCAUGAGUUACUCGUGUUCAACAUUUGUAUACGGAAAUAUGACCUUCAAGGAUCGUCCAAAUAUACAGAAAAACGUAGAAGAACUAGUCGUAUCCGUGUCCAAUACUUACACCCGAGUCCUUAUAACAUAACUGGUGGCAUUCUUGUGAUUCAUUUGUGUAUAUGGAAUUCAAAUGGUGAAGCAGUUGGAAACUUGGUUUAUCUAGAAGUUGACUGGUUUGUGUUUUUGACUUUUGAUGGAAUUGUUCAACUGUCUCUUGUUUACAAAUAUUGGCUAAAGUCAACAUGGUGGAUUGUUC